rnacentral:rRNA from 1 species
CCUACGGGUGGCAGCAGUGAGGAAUAUUGGUCAAUGGGCGGAAGCCUGAACCAGCCAAGUAGCGUGCGGGAUGAAGGCCCUACGGGUCGUAAACCGCUUUUGCACGGGGAUAACACCCUCCACUUGUGGAGGUCUGCAGGUACCGUGCGAAUAAGGGCCGGCUAAUUCCGUGCCAGCAGCCGCGGUAAUACGGAAGGCCCGAGCGUUAUCCGGAUUCAUUGGGCUUAAAGGGAGCGUAGGCGGGCGUUCAAGUCAGCUGUAAAAUCGCGCGGCUCAAGGCCGUACAGCCGUUGAAACUGGCAGUCUUGAGUGGGCGAGAAGUAUGCGGAAUGCGUGGUGUAGCGGUGAAAUGCAUAGAUAUCACGCAGAACUCCGAUUGCGAAGGCAGCAUACCGGCGCCCUACUGACGCUGAGGCACGAAAGCGUGGGUAUCGAACAGGAUUAGAUACCCCAGUAGUC